GACCCCAGGUCAGGCGGGACUACCCGCUGAGUUUAAGCAUAUC
rnacentral:rRNA from 1 species